UACGUAGGGUGCAAGCGUUGUCCGGAAUUAUUGGGCGUAAAGAGCUUUGUAGGCGGUUUGUCGCGUCUGCUGUGAAAUUUCGGGGCUCAACCCCCGAACUUGCAGUGGGUACGGGCAGACUAGAGUGUGGUAGGGGAGACUGGAAUUCCUGGUGUAGCGGUGAAAUGCGCAGAUAUCAGGAGGAACACCGAUGGCGAAGGCAGGUCUCUGGGCCAUAACUGACGCUGAGAAGCGAAAGCAUGGGGAGCGAACAGG
rnacentral:rRNA from 1 species